UACGUAGGGGGCAAGCGUUGUCCGGAAUCAUUGGGCGUAAAGAGCGUGUAGGCGGCUUGGUAAGUCCGCUGUGAAAGUCCAGGGCUCAACCCUGGACUGCCGGUGGAAACUGCCAAGCUAGAGUCCGGAAGAGGCGAGUGGAAUUCCUGGUGUAGCGGUGAAAUGCGCAGAUAUCAGGAGGAACACCAAUGGCGAAGGCAGCUCGCUGGGACGGUACUGACGCUGAGACGCGAAAGCGUGGGGAGCAAACAGG
rnacentral:rRNA from 1 species